UACGAAGGGGGCUAGCGUUGUUCGGAUUUACUGGGCGUAAAGCGCACGUAGGCGGAUCGUUAAGCGGGGGUGAAAUCCUGGAGCUCAACUCCAGAACUGCCUUCGAUACUGGCGAUCUUGAGUCCGGAAGAGGUGAGUGGAACUCCUAGUGUAGAGGUGGAAUUCGUAGAUAUUAGGAAGAACACCAGUGGCGAAGGCGGCUCACUGGCCCGGAACUGACGCUGAUGUACGAAAGCGUGGGGAGCAAACAGG
rnacentral:rRNA from 1 species